CCCGGCUCCUGCGACUUGGCUCCCUUCCUGACGGUUUAUGGUGUAUAUGCAAGCUCCCUGAGAGGAAGAAUGGCCCUAUUCUGUCUUUGUGUCUCUGAGCUGGACACAGUGCUGGAUAUGGACUAGGAGCACCACCAUUGGUUGAGUGAGCGGUCAAAUCAGCGCCUGAAGGGGAAUUUUCAAGUGGAUCAAAAAGAGCUGUGACUGUCCCCUUUGGUCUGGGCCUGAGUAUUUUUUGCAUGAAGUCUUUCCCACAUGAGUGGAUUCUCCUCCAGCGCUCUGAGCCUCACAGAGCUCCAUCAACCUUCUGCUCUCAGGGCCCAACCUUGAUGCAGCCUUCACAGGGCCUGUCGUCUCUAGGAUGACUUCUGUUUGGAUGCUGGCUGCUCGGUGACCUGUUGGCCUAGCUCCAGUGAGCCCUGCCAUCUCUGCUGAACUUGAUACCAAUAAAAGAAGCAGACACACCAAGCAGCCAUGAGACUUGACCGGAAGGACAAGACAGGAAGCCGGUGUCGAAAUAGGCGAUCAAUAGCUGCCUGUUCCUUGGAGAGAUGCCUGUCUGUACAGCUCUUCAGGACACUCUUUCAGAGCCACGGUGAAAACCCAGUCAAGAAGAAAACUUUUUUUUUUUUACUUUCACAAACUCAUAUUUGGUUCAAUAAAAAUGCACUUAACUUACA